AUUGAACGCUGGCGGCAUGCCUUACACAUGCAAGUCGAACGGCAGCACGGGGGCAACCCUGGUGGCGAGUGGCGAACGGGUGAGUAAUACAUCGGAACGUGCCCAGUCGUGGGGGAUAACGUAGCGAAAGUUACGCUAAUACCGCAUACGAUCUCUGGAUGAAAGCGGGGGACCGCAAGGCCUCGCGCGAUUGGAGCGGCCGGUGGUAGAUUAGGUAGUUGGUGGGGUAAAAGCUUACCAAGCCUCCGAUCUGUAGCUGGUCUGAGAGGACGAUCAGCCACACUGGGACUGAGACACGGCCCAGACUCCUACGGGAGGCAGCAGUGGGGAAUUUUGGACAAUGGGCGAAAGCCUGAUCCAGCAAUGCCGCGUGCAGGACGAAGGCCUUCGGGUUGUAAACUGCUUUUGUACGGAGCGAAACGGCUUCCACUAAUACUGGGGGCUAAUGACGGUACCGUAAGAAUAAGCACCGGCUAACUACGUGCCAGCCGCCGCAGUAA
rnacentral:rRNA from 1 species